rnacentral:rRNA from 1 species
GACAGAGGUCCCGAGCGUUAGGCGGAAUCACUGGGCCUAAAGCGUGUGUAGGCGGAUUGGUAAGUACCUUGUGAAAUCCCACGGCUCAACCGUGGAACUGCUUGGUAUACUGCUUAUCUUGGGCCACUUAGGGGUUACCGGAACAAACGGUGGAGCGGUGAAAUGCGUAGAUAUCGUUUGGAACGCCAAUGGUGAAAACAGGUAACUGGGAGUGUGCCGACGCUGAGACACGAAAGCCAGGGGAGCGAACAGG